GCCCUCAGCAAAGUGAAGCUCCAUUGGUAGAGCCAGAGACUCUGAAUCUCAGGGCUGUGGGUUUGAGCUCCACACUGGGCA